UAGUUGCCAUCAGGUAAGCUGGAACUCUGGGGAGACUGCCGGUGAUAAACCGGAGGAAGCGGGGAUGACGUCAAGUCCUCAUGGCCCUUACAUCCCGGGCUACACACGUGCUACAAUGGCAGGUACAGAGGGCUGCGAAGCCGCGAGGUGGAGCGAAUCCCAGAAAACCUGUCUCAGUCCGGAUUGAAGUCUGCAACUCGACUUCAUGAAGGCGGAAUCGCUAGUAACCGCGAAUCAGCAGGUCGCGGUGAAUACGUUCCCGGGCCUU
rnacentral:rRNA from 1 species